rnacentral:rRNA from 1 species
CCUACGGGAGGCAGCAGUGAGGAAUAUUGGUCAAUGGACGAGAGUCUGAACCAGCCAAGUAGCGUGAAGGAUGACUGCCCUAUGGGUUGUAAACUUCUUUUAUAUGGGAAUAAAAUGUUCCACGUGUGGGAUUUUGUAUGUACCAUAUGAAUAAGGAUCGGCUAACUCCGUGCCAUCAGCCGCGGUAAUACGGGGGAUCCGAGCGUUAUCCGGAUUUAUUGGGUUUAAAGGGAGCGUAGGUGGAUUGUUAAGUCAGUUGUUAAAGUUUGCGGCUCAACCGUAAAAUUGCAGUUGAAACCGGCAGUCUUGAGUAGAGUAGAGGUGGGCGGAAUGCGUGGUGUAGCCGUGAAAUGCUUAGAUAUCACGAAGAACUCCGAUUGCGAAGGCAGCUCAAUGGACUGCAACUGACACUGAGGCUCGAAAGUGUGGGUAUCAAACAGGAUUAGAUACCCGAGUAGUC